rnacentral:rRNA from 1 species
GAUGAGUAGAGCGGCGGACGGGUGAGUAACGCGUAGGAAUCUACCAAGUAGUGGGGGACAACAUGUGGAAACGCAUGCUAAUACCGCAUACGCCCUACGGGGGAAAGGGGGGGAUCUUCGGACCUCUCGCUAUUUGAUGAGCCUGCGUAGGAUUAGCUAGAUGGUGGGGUAAUGGCCUACCAUGGCGACGAUCCUUAGCUGGUCUGAGAGGAUGAUCAGCCACACUGGGACUGAGACACGGCCCAGACUCC